GCUUUAAAAUUGUCCCCUCUGUAGGGGUUUUGCUCUUAUGCCACAAGUAUUGCUGCUGUGUCUGCGAAACAGGAAGGAGCAGCAUCUCCCCACUAUUUCCCCGAUGAGUACCCCGAAGAUGGUGGAGUUCACGUGGUGAAGUUCUCUUUCUUCCACUGGCCUAAGUCUUAAAUUCCCCAAACGCUUGGAGCCUUGCAAGGCUGGGCAGCCGGCAGUUUCCCCAGCAGUUGCCCUGGCAUCUUGCCCUCUUUACACAAAGCAAUCACUGUUGCAGAAAAUGAGGGUCCUGGGAUCAUUUGGCACCACCCCUUGCUUGGCAUUUGCGUGGGAGAAGGGACUUUCUUUCUCUCUGACAAUAGAUUCUGAUCACAAACCAGGCCCCUUUCACUCAUGGAAUGACUCUGCCCAGAGGCAAAUAAAGAUGAACAUGUUCGACUGAUGGAUGAGAAGCACAUCCAGGCCCAGGAUUCCUUCUACUGCUCUGGGACUCAAGCAGAUACAUGGCUUCUGUUCUUGAGGAAAUUGAGAAUGUAGAAGGAUGCAAACAGUCUAGACAUAAACAUGAACCCAUUGACCCAACUAGAGUACAAUAGCAAAUAAACCCAAAGGCUCCGGGGCUUUUGACCUAUGGAAGAAUUGAAGCUGGUCAUCACACAGCAGGCUUUCUCCAUGUGGUGGUCCCUGGCAACUCUAGGUUUACACUGUCUCAGUUCAGCAAUCUCUUGCCAAACAUUUCCAGAAGAAUUCUCAGAAUUCUUAGGACUGAGACUGGUUGUUUGGCUUAGUCUGGGUCAUGAACAACUACCCUCUAAUCCUCCUGGAACUAUAACCAUGACCAGAGGAAUGUGGACUUUCUCAGUGACAAGGUGUGGGACAUGGCCCUAGAGGGCAAGUUCAUCUCCACCCCAACCACGUGGAGGAAUGCCUACUGUAGCAGAUGCUGUCAGUGCCCCAUCCUUAUUCCCUUGGUUCUUACUGUUUCAGUGGAUACUGGCUUAAUUUUCUAGUGUUAACACCCUCAUGUCUUUGCCUGAGGGCUUUCUCUCACCACCAGAGCCCACCAUGAACAUAUUCAAGAAAGGCUAGAAGUGUCAGGGAGUUAACACCUCAUAGGAGCAGUUCUCAGCCAAUGGCUGAUGGAGUUGGAAGGUAAAUACCCCCCCAAUUAAUCUUC